CAAUAUAAUUUCUCUUUUAAACUCAACCCAAUUUAGCCCCUACCCAACCUCAAACCGCUUCGACCCGAUCCAACCCAAUAGCUAAACCCAUUUCCCCACCUAAAAACCCUACCACAAAUAUAGGGAUAGAUACACAAGAGAUAAAUACAACGCCUAUACACACAAAAUGGAGGCUUGAAGAAAACUGCGCAGCUUUUGGUUUUCUUCACCAUCGGAGCUCAUUGAAACACAAACAAAAAGCUCCAUUAAACAUUUCAAACUUUACCCCAUAAAUAACAUUGUCUUCUCCUAAAGAUAUAACUUAAAGCUACUGCAAAAACAGCUCAAAAACCAUUCCUGGAACAACCCCAAAACGCAACCAAAAACAACCCUCAAAUUCGACCAAAAUCAUUCAAAACCAGCCCUAUUUUCCAACCUAAAACCCAGCAAAAUAAGCCACAAAAUAGCCUUGAAACUCCAUGGAAACAGGCGAAACAGAGCUUAAGCUCAGCUGUAAACCAGUCCAAGAACCAACUCCAAUCAGAUCUUAAAUCACCACAAAGAGAGUCGAGGUCGUCUUUCGAGUGUUCAUGUCGCAGAUCUUGUUGGAGCUAUUUAUUGGAGUUGUAAUCUUUGGAAUUCAUAUAUUUUGUUGAUGUCGGAAGCUUCGUGCUUUCAUCUACUGAAGAAUUUUAUUUACUGAAUAUUAAGGUUUAUUCUUACCUUUGCUAUAUGAAUUCCUUAGUCUUCUCUUGUUUAAAUUUUCGUUUGCCAUCUGACCUUUUCCAUGUGUUUAUUUUGGUCUGUUAUUGGAUCUUUAAUGUGAAUAUUUCAAAUACUUUGUUGUGAAUUUAAUUCUUUUAGAACUUGGACAACAAUAGGUUUUGGGUGUAGCUAGAAUCAAAGUCUUGAUUUUUGGAUUGUGUUAAAUAGCUAAUGCACUGUUAAUGGAUUUGUGGCUGGUAAAUAUACUAGCCAUUUCAUUUUGAGGUAGAGAAUCGAUCUGUUGGGUCUAAAAUUAAAGCAAUUUGAAUUUUGUUAAGGAGAACUGGAAUUGUAUCUACUGACAGAAUCUAAAAAUAGGAGUGAGCAUAGGGAAAAAUGGUUUGGCAUGUGAGGUUAGUUUGAAUUUAUAAAGAUCUGAGCCAGGAUAAGUAACACCUAUGAGUCCAACAUAUUCUUCUCCAUUCUUGUGAUGAAUUCUUCCCAAAGGAUCGAAUCAUAUUUCUGUCUACAAUAGUUUUAAUAACUCUUAAAUCUUUACAACAAUAUUAAAGAUUAGGAAAAUAGUGAAUACUUCCCAAAGGAUCGAGUCAUAUUUCUGUCUACAAUAAUUUUAUUAACUCUUAGAUCUUUACAACAAUAUUAAAGAUUAGGAAAAUAAAUAAACACGUAAUUGCAUUAGAUGCGUACUUUAUAUUAAUUUUUAUAAAUUUUGGUGCACAUUUAUGUGACCCAAAUCCAAAUUUCAGCGAAGCUGAAAUGUGUCAAAAACCACGGGUGCAUAUAUGUGACGUGGUUCGAUAUAUGUUUUAACGACGUUGCAAUUCUCUUUAAGAAAAAUAAUAAAGGUGGUUAAAAGAUUCAAAAAUGCACGUAGGUUCAUAACAGAAUUCCUUGCCCGGGUGUACUUACUAGUUGAGACUCCCUAUUAUGUUAGUGUCAUACCAUGAAAUAUGAAAGAGGCCGGACAAUUUACUCGGAUUUCUGAUUCGCGGACUGUUAAACAGAGUCAUUCUUUUCUCGAUUCAGAAUUCUAAGCAGUGACUUGGGACACGAUAAAUCUCCCAAGUGGGGACUCUGAAAUUCUCUUAAAUAAAUGAUUCACGUUUCGAUUGUCCUUUAUUUGGAAAAUCUCUCUUAUCUACGCCUUUCACCGGGUUGUGGUAGCCAAAAGGAGGUGUGACAGCUCUGGCGACUCUGCUGGGGAUAGAACCCUGAAUCUCUGGUUCGGGGUUCAAGAAUUCGAGCUUAAAAUAAUUGUUGUAUUUGGCUUUAUUUGUUAUCUGAUUUUUACAUGUUGGCUUACUGUGCAAAAUGAUGUUUUUACCGCUUUGAUAUUAUCUGAUCUGUACAUAUAAACUGCCACGAUACCUUUCUCUUCUCACCUCCGAGGUGUACUUACUAGUUGAGACUCCCUAUUAUGAUAGUGUCAUACCCUGAAAUAUGAAAGAGGCCGGACAAUUUACUAAGCCGGAUGGCAUUUUGGUUUUUGGUACGUAGCCCCCUCCUCGACUCGAGUUGUCCACUCGGGUACUCUGUCUAAAACACAUACUCAGGUUUUUGAAUUUAGAAUAACUUGACCUCAUGCCUAAUCCAUAGUAGGAACACUUAUUUGCAUCAUGUAUUUGACUUAGGAGACUCAACACAAGACAGGGCCUGUCUAGGACAGGUGUACCCAAUUUAAAAGACCAUCAUGAUGCAUUUCAUAUGCCACAUGUGACAGGAUAGGGCCUGUAUAGGACAGGUGUACCCAAUUUAAAAGACCAUCAUGAUGCAUUUCAUAUGCCAAAUGUUGCAUUUUUUCAAGGGUGAAAGUUUUAUUUGGCGGACCAAUAAUAACUAAGGGUAAAUGAAAAAAUGAGAAAAAAAAGAAAGAAAAACAAUGAAAAGAAAAGAGGGUGAAGUGUGAAAAUAAAGCAAGUAGGGUCUAGUUAUGCUUUUGUUAUAUUUUUAUCAAAAAACGAGACAAAAGAUAUGUGAAAAACUCAAAAAAUAUAUUUACUAUUUUUCAUCAUUUCCUGAAAAUCGAAUAAAAAUAAAAAAAAUCCAAAAGAGUUUACAUAUUUCAUCAUUUUUCAAAAAAAAAAAAAAGACAAAAGAAAAUAUUUUCUUUAAAAAUUAGUUGUUUUUUUUAUUUCUUGCCUGUAUCCAAUUUGCCCGAACUACGCAAAUCUGAUUCUCGUCUUUCUGGAGUGAUACGUAGGCAACCCACAUAGGAUCGGAUCUUCUUAGUAAAUCUUAGGUUCUUGGCUAUGCAGGGUAAUAGCCAAAUUUUAUACUUCUAGCCACAUAGGUUAGUUUUAGAAUUCAGAAGUUGUUUGUUUGAAAAUUGUGUGAAUUGAGUUGUGUCAAUGGACUCUACUAUUGAAAUUCUUAGAGUUCAAGUUGGAAUUCUCUUGUCAAAAUUCUUUUAUGCUGACGAAAUUUCUGUUGAGAUCGGUCUUAAUUUGUUGGAGCAUUGUUUUGUGAUUUUAAUUCAAUCUAUGAAUCGUUGGUGGGGCCAUGUUUGAAAGAAAAUCAUGCAUUGUACACGGUUAUCUUUGUGCAAUAACUGCAAACCUCUGAAGCUUAUUUGUUAAAAAUUUUCCACUAUUUAUGGAAAAGUUUCUGGAAUAAAUUGAUAGCAGAAUUUCUCCUAACUUGAACCUUGUUACCAUUGGUUUCUAAUAGUUGUUGUUGUCAUUCAGUUUAAUAGAGGGGAUUCAGUUGGACUAGAGAUUGAGCAGUUUGCAUUGUGAUUUGGUUGAGCAUACGGUAAGCUUAAUCUGCCGAAAUUGUGUUCGUUGAGACUGUGCUCGAGUUUAGCUGUGAUAGCUUGAAAUCUAGUUUUUACUUCUAAAAUGUUCUUCUGGUUGAAUUAAGUGCUUUUGUUACAUAAACUAUUGUCUAGUUGGUUAAGUUGCAGGUUUGCUGGAAAAAAAUUUGCUGCUUGUAUUAUGUUGCUGUAAAGGAUUUCAUACUUGCUGUUCACAGCCCUACGUUGUUCAUUUUUCGCUCAACAAUGAAGAUUUUCACAUUUCUUUAAUUGAUUGUUGUUACUAUUGUUUUUCUUAAUAGUUGAGGGAAUUUUGCAAAAGUUUUAGCUUCGAUUAGCUCAACUGCUUGAAAGUAUAAACGUCAAAGGCAACUGCUUUUCUUCAGUUUAUAUGCCAACAAUACACUACUGAAUUGCAAGUUUUGAGCUAUUUUUGUUAAAGCAGAUCCUGCACUAUUCAGCUAUGCUUUGUGGUUAUUCUCACUCAAUAUUGCUGUGAUUCCAAUGCUUUGUUUCUACUAUUAAGGGCGUCAUAUUGAGAUGAAAAUUUCUACGCCUACUACUGCUGAAUUUAGUGCUCAAGGUGUUGCUGAAGUUCUGAGUUUUGAGAAGCAAUGGAAUAGCGAACCUGCCAGCUUGUUCAAACCAUAGAAUUCUGUAUUUAAAUGAAAUCCGUUAAUGUAACACAAGUUUCCUAAACAUUAUUUGUAUUUUUCUACAACAUUUUAUAAACCUCAAACUGGGUGUGGACACUAGAGCUUGUUUGAAAAAUUUUGAACUUAAAUAAGAGUGUUUUGG
rnacentral:lncRNA from 1 species